rnacentral:rRNA from 1 species
AUACGACUCUCGGCAACGGAUAUCUCGGCUCUCGCAUCGAUGAAGAACGUAGCGAAAUGCGAUACUUGGUGUGAAUUGCAGAAUCCCGUGAACCAUCGAGUCUUUGAACGCAAGUUGCGCCCGAGGCCUUUCGGUUGAGGGCACGCCUGCCUGGGCGUCACGCC